rnacentral:rRNA from 1 species
AUUGAACGCUGGCGGCGUGCUUAACACAUGCAAGUCGAUCGGUAACAGGUGUAGCAAUACAUGCUGACGAGAGGCGGACGGGUGAGUAAUGCUUGGGAAUCUGCCUAUUAGUGGGGGACAACCCGGGGAAACUCGGGCUAAUACCGCAUACGCUCUACGGAGGAAAGCCGGGACCGCAAGGCCUGGCGCUAAUAGAUCGAGCCCAAGUCGGAUUAGCUAGUUGGUAGGGAACGGCCUACCAAGGCGACAAUCCGUAGCUGGUCUGAGAGGACGACCAGCCACACCGGAACUGAGACACGGUCCGGACUCCUACGGGAGGCGAGCAGUGGGGAAUAGUUGACAAUGGGGCAACCCUGAUCCAGCGACGCCGCGUGGGUGAAGAAGG